GCGGGGGUACCCGAGCCAGGUCUAUGUCGCGGUCCAGAAGCCGGACGGCUUGAGGGGGCGGACUUAAGAUCCGCUGGCGAAGGCCUUCGUGGGUUCGAAUCCCACCCCCCGCACCA
rnacentral:tRNA from 1 species